CACUAUGUAAGACAAUAGUUACCCCCCACAUACAUCCUCAACCUUUGUGUGUGUGUGGUCACUACAAGUGGCGCCUGAGGAACAGGGACCCUUACUCCGUCCGGCAAGGACUGGUGCACCGUCAGCCCUCAUGGCUUCUCCAACCUUCUAAAGGUUUCUAUAUCCUAGUCUUCUGGUUCAAAGAUGGACUCAACAACGACCUGCCUGGCCCAUGGCACCCUUAACUGCCUGCAUGAAUGGUAUCUGAUGGCAGAGGAGGCAGAGAUCGACAUGACCCAAAACCGCACCAGCAGGGCUUGGAGAAGAUCCCCACCCCGGGGGAAGCAAGAGCCAUUCAAACCCCAAACCGCCAUGGCAGCAAGGCCAUCAGGUUGCUUUAAGUGUGGGAAGGAGGGGCACUGUGCAGCAGAAUGUCAGUCGAAAACGCCUGCCAGAAAGCCUGAUCGCCCAUCAGGGGGAAAGCCUACAAAACCACCCCUGAGGAAUAGAAACCGUGCUGAGAAGCCAAAAGGCCGUGGAUUUCCGUUCCCCUCCAAAAUCAGGAGGAACGCCAGCGUCCCAAGAGGACUUGAGCCAGUCCGAAAGCGACCCAGAAGACGACCCGCUGACCACUAAUAUGAAUCCAGCGCGCCGCUUGCUAAAGCACUGGAAUCCAGACUCCCAGUGACGGGAUGGGGUCUUUCAGACACUCUCCCUCCUCUCUCUUUCUCUCUCUCUCUCUCUCUCCCCCCUCUCUUUCUCUCUCUGUCUCCCCUCUCUCUUUCUAUCUCUCUUUCAUUCUUUCUCAUUCUUUCUCUCCCCCCUUUCUCUCUCUAUCUCCCUUUCUCUCUCCCUCACUCUCUCUCUCAUUCUGAUUCUCUCAUUCUGAUUCUCUCUCUCUCUCUUUCUCAUUCUGAUUCUCUCAUUCUGAUUCUCUUUCUCUUUUGUUCUCUCUCUUUCUGAUUCUCUCUGUCUCUUUCUUUCUGAUUCUCUCUCUGAUUCUCUCUCUCUCUCAUUCUCUCUUUCAUUCUGUCCCUCUCUCUCUCAUUUUCUCUCUGAUUCUCUCUCAUUCUGAUUCUUUCUCACUCUCAUUCUCUCUCUGUGUUUCUCUAUCUCUCUCUCUCUCUCUCUCUCUCUCUCUCUCUCUCUCUCUCUCGUUCCCUCUCAUUCUCUCUCUCAUCCCAUGGGCCAGCCAGUGUCUUGGAGCUGAGAGGAAGUCAAGCAUCUCCCCGAGAGACCAAGGUGUGCGGAGCACAACAAGGGCUGGAAGAAACGCCCACGAGAUCCUGCAAGAGACGAAGCAAAGCGAGAUCCAGCAAGAGACGAAGCUUCACUCCCGCUCUGGAAUAUGGAGCAAAUCUCCACCCCCAGCCCUUCCCUUCUCAGGCCAGGCGAGGAGUAACUGGGAAGGGAGGGUGAGGACAGCCACUGGUGGGUUCAGCCGACAGGAAGCUACAGCAGGGGGAAGAAAUAGCUCAGGGUUGCAGUCACUCAUUGCUUCGGCCCACCUGCACUGCCACUCCCCUCCCUUGCACCACCUCAUUCUGGCCAGCGAGGGCUGUGCUGCAAAGUUGCAAGUUGCACGAACCUACCUCCACAGCAGAGAUUUACAGCCCCCACCCCACGAGCUGCCUGGUCAGUCCCAUGUUCCAGAGCUCUAGUCACAGGACUGGCCAUUGCUCAUCCCAGAGCAGCUCCUCCACCCGAGUGGGCCGCGGACCAUCAAAGCUUUGUCCCAGACCACCAGUGGUCCACGGACCACCGGUUGGUGACCGCUGUCCCGGAGGGAAAAGAGGAAGGAAAGGAAAACAGAGAAACUGCAGUGACCGGCCACCCUGCUGAACCCACUAGCAUCCCCAAAGAAUACCAGGAUUUGGCUGAGGUAUUUAGUGAGGAGGCAUCCAAUGAACUUCCACCCCAUCGCGCCACAGACUGUGCCAUUGAGAUCUUACCAGGGGCUAAAUUCCCAAAAACAAAAAUGUACUCCAUGUCCCCCAGAGAACUAGAUGAACUCAGAGCAUUUAUCGACAAAAACCUAAAAAAGGGUUUCAUCGAACCCACCCGACCAAAAAUAGCAGCCCCAGUGUUAUUCCGCAAAAAGAAAGAUGGCUCCUUAUGCCUCUGCAUUGACUACUCUAAUCUGAACACGAUCAGCGUGGAGAAUAUGUACCCACUUCCCCUCAUGAAGGACAUGCUGGCCCACCUCUCUAAAGGAAAAAUCUUUUCAAAGCUGGAUUUAUGAGAGGCAUACUACUGCAUCAGAAUUAGGAAAGGGGAUGAGUGGAAGACUGCCUUUAACACCCCGGACAGGUUUAAGAAAGCCCGCCAAAAUUUGGAAAUGAAUUGGACACCCCUGUCUGAGAUAAUCCGUUGGGGAGCUCCAUGGAGGCGAUAAAUGUGGACUAAAAACAUUUUUGCUAAUGCCUUGGCUGUUGGGAUUUUCUGGCAGGGUAUGAAAUGGACCUGUUUUGAAAAGAGGUCUGUUACAACUCAAAUAACUGUGUUUCCCAUGCUUUCAGGCAGCUCCACUAUAAAAUCCAUAGAAAUCUCUCUCCAUGGUGCUGAAGGUUUUGCUACAGUUCAUAAAAGUCCUGGGGAUUUUCCUUGUCGCCUUUUUGCAGCUGCGCAGGUGGGGGAGCUAGCCACGUAGCUCUCAAUGUCUUUUUUAAGGGAUGGCCACCAGAAUUGCCUUUUGAUUAGGUGUAGCGUUUUCACAAAUCCAAAAUGUCCAGCUAUCUUGGAGUCGUGGCAUUGCUUCAUGAGCUCCAAUCUUUGACUAGUACGAAUGUAAAGUUUGUUUUCAAUCCAGGCUAAGUUGUCUUUGAGCAAGCAAAUGUUUUUGUGUGCUUGGAACCAGUCAUCCUUAAAUAGUGCCUCCUUAAAUUUUGAGACCGUUGCAUUGUCGGCAAGCGGUUCUUUUUUGGCUUGUGCUCAGUUAAUUACUUUGGCGGCUGGGGUGUUUGGAGCAUAGGUUUAACAAUUUCAGUCUUUUUGCUGUUGUAUUGUGGUUUUCUAGACAGAGCAUCAGCUAAAAAAUUUUUUCCUCCUGGGAGAUAUUUGAGGGUAAAAUUAAAACGUUUAAAGUAUUGCACCCAACGUACUUAUUUGGGGGAGACUUUUCAUGGGGUCUUCAGAGCUUCUAAGUUUUUAUGAUCAGUCCAGACUUCGAAGGAGAAUUCUCACAUCUUGGGAAAUGGGGAGUGGUGGGGAGGGAAAUGUGUGGAUUGCAAAAUGGCCGAGAAGCUCUUCUUAUCUGCUUCUCAGAGAGGCCAGUAUCAUCUUCACAAUGGCGGAUUGGUGGGAAUCCACAUCGGACGGUGGGGAAGGGGUUCCUAAUUCCCUUUAUUCUGGACUGUAUGCCCUGAGGGACCUCAGAGCCUGCUUUGAAUUUUGACUUGCUUUCAUCCCUUUUCAAUAAAAGGUUCCUUUUGAAAUACAAA